rnacentral:rRNA from 1 species
GACGAACGCUGGCGGCGUGCUUAACACAUGCAAGUCGAACGGAAAGGCCCUGCUUGCAGGGUACUCGAGUGGCGAACGGGUGAGUAACACGUGGGUGAUCUGCCCUGCACUUCGGGAUAAGCCUGGGAAACUGGGUCUAAUACCGGAUAGGAGCCAUUUUUAGUGUGAUGGUUGGAAAGUUUUUUCGGUGUAGGAUGAGCUCGCGGCCUAUCAGCUUGUUGGUGGGGUAAUGGCCUACCAAGGCGGCGACGGGUAGCCGGCCUGAGAGGGUGGACGGCCACAUUGGGACUGAGUGACGGCCCAGACUCCUACGGGAGGCAGCAGUGGGGAAUAUUGCACAAUGGGCGCAAGCCUGAUGCAGCGACGCCGCGUGGGGGAUGACGGCCUUCGGGUUGGAAACUCCUUUCGCUAGGGACGAAGCUUUUUGUGACGGUACCUAGAUAAGAAGCACCGGCUAACUACGUG